UACCCGCGACAGGACGGAAAGACCCCGUGGAGCUUUACUGUAGCCUGAUAUUGAAAUUCGGCACAGCUUGUACAGGAUAGGUAGGAGCCUUUGAAACGUGAGCGCUAGCUUACGUGGAGGCGCUGGUGGGAUACUACCCUAGCUGUGUUGGCUUUCUAACCCACACCACUUAUCGUGGUGGGAGACAGUGUCAGGCGGGCAGUUUGACUGGGGCGGUCGCCUCCUAAAAGGUAACGGAGGCGCUCAAAGGUUCCCUCAGAAUGGUUGGAAAUCAUUCAUAGAGUGUAAAGGCAUAAGGGAGCUUGACUGCGAGACCUACAAGUCG
rnacentral:rRNA from 1 species